rnacentral:rRNA from 1 species
GAUGAACGCUGGCGGCGUGCCUAAUACAUGCAAGUCGAGCGAACAGACGAGGAGCUUGCUCCUCUGACGUUAGCGGCGGACGGGUGAGUAACACGUGGAUAACCUACCUAUAAGACUGGGAUAACUUCGGGAAACCGGAGCUAAUACCGGAUAAUAUAUUGAACCGCAUGGUUCAAUAGUGAAAGACGGUUUUGCUGUCACUUAUAGAUGGAUCCGCGCCGCAUUAGCUAGUUGGUAAGGUAACGGCUUACCAAGGCAACGAUGCGUAGCCGACCUGAGCGGGUGAUCGGCCCCCCUGGACCUGCGCCACCGUCCCGACUCCUACGGGAGGCAGCAGUACGGAAUCUUCCGCAAUGGGCGAAAGCCUGACGGAGCACCGCCGCGUGAGUGAUGAAGGUCUUCGGAUCGUAAAACUCUGUUAUUAGGGAAGAACAAAUGUGUAAGUAACUAUGCACGUCUUGACGGUACCUAAUCAGAAAGCCACGGCUAACUACGUG